AGAAUGACAAGAAGUAGAAAAGUAUAUUUGCAAAUAAUUACUUUCGUCAUAUUUGUAAGCUAUAACAUCUGGCUUUUUGCAAACCAGACAACUUUUGCAAAAGAUGCCAAGCCACUAACAGUGAGUCCAAAAGAGCCAAUGAGAACAUCUAAGUUGAUAGGGCUACAAGCUGACGAUGAGCAGUUGGUUCAAUUUACAAGGGGUUUUCUAAUAAGUCCUGACUUUACAAAACCAUAUAUUUUGGACGACCCUGAUAUUAUUGACCAAUCCAAGCACAACACAUCAAGAUUUGUUCUUGACCUGACGAACAACAAGACUGGCGGCUUUUUUGUUGAGUGUGGAGCAUACGAUGGUGAAAAUUCAUCUAAUAUACUUUGCUUCUCGAGAGAGAAUUCGGGUGGACUGGGCUGCUGGUUGAAGCUGCUCCUCGGUUGAUGGCAAAAAUGAUGCUGAAGAAUAGAAAAGCAUGGAUCGCACCAGCUUGCAUGAGCAUCACGAAUGUUUCUAUGAUGACCACCUUUCAAGACAAUUACUUUGGCGGAAGGGUGCGUAAAACUGGGACGAGGUAUUCAUGGGCAAUGUAUGUGGAUGCAUUUUGUAUUCCGUUCAACACAUUUAUGCGCGCGCUGAAUACAAAAGAGGUUGACUUUUUAAGUCUGGACGUCGAAACAUACGAGUUGGAUAUACUCAAAACAAUAAAUUUCCAGGAAAUAAAAAUCAACGUCUUAUUUGUCAAGUACAACAGUAUAACCGAAUCUCGUGCCAAGAAUCUGCUGCUGUUUAUGAAAGAGCAAGGAUUUAGGUUGAUCGGCAAGAACAGACAGGACCUGAUUUACGUGCACAAAACCUUUGUUCUACCUGCAGGAUUUCUACCAAUGAUAAUGUCUGAAGAGGAUAUAUUCAGAAGUCUGUUGAAAAGAUACUGACAAUUUCUUUGAUGGAAUUCUCAUCAUCAACAUCAAAGUGAAUUCCAAAAUAACUUGGAAUUCAGACAGUCGUGACUCGCAGAUGUACUCUUACUAUUAUUUGUUUGAUAAAACACUCUUUCAAAAGCACUUCAAAGAGC